UAGUCAUCCUCUUAUUUCUUCUCUCUCUUUUUCGUACUCCCUCUACUCUCUUCCUCUCUGUAAAAUAUUCAACAGUCUCUACUCCCUCCGAUCAGCCACCGCGACUCCUCCGAUCGCUCCACCGCGUAACAUGUAAAACACUCCAUCAAUCCAAGCUCUCAAUUCCCCUUCUUUCCCUCAAUUUUGGAGCUUAGGUUGCAAACCCGCUUCCACUAAUCUUUGGAAAAUUGUUGAAUUUAGAGGUGAACCGAGUGCAAGCACAAGCGAUAAGGGAAAAGGGCACCUCCAUGGUUGACUAAGCAAGUAAUAGCGGGUUUUUUUUUGACGUGUACAGAGUAUAGAAGCGAGUGAACUCGCUAGUUGGCAGCCGCACGUGUCAAGUCACCACCUCCCUUUUUGCUAGUACAGUCGUAGUUUACACGUGGCAUGCUUAGUUUAUCUUUUGGUUGUAAAUAGUUGGUUACAAAUGUAAGGUUAUAACCUUAUUUUUGCUAGUGGAGUUGUAGGUAUGUCUAUAUAAACAGGUUAAUGUUAUUUUGUUAUGUAUAGUAGUAAAUAGUUGUGUUAUCAGGUUUAGUUUCUUUUAUGAUAGUAUUGUAUGUUGAGUGUUGCAAAAUGGUUAAAAAAAAAUAGGCAGGUUUUGUUUA